AUUAGAUACCCUAUUAUUUUCAUUGUAAAAUAUUUAAGCUUGAGUAUUAGUAGUUAUGAUCUUGAAACUUAAAGAAUUUGGCGGUAUAAUAGUCUAUUUAGAGGAAUCUGUUAUGUAAUCGAUAAUCCGCGUUGAACCUUACUUAUAUUAUUUCUUGUAUACCGCUGUUUGUGAAUAUACUUUCAGGUUAUUUUCUUGAUUUAAAAAUAAAAAAUAUUUCAAGUCAAGGUGCAGUAAUAUAUAAGUUGAAUAAUGGAUUACAAUAGAAUGUAUUUAUAUGGAUUUUUAUUUUAAUAUAAUUUGAAGGUGGAUUUAAUUGUAAUUUUGUGAAGAUUAUUAAAAUGAUUUUAGCUCUAUUAUAUGCACACAUCGCCCG
rnacentral:rRNA from 1 species